GAUGACCGCUCCUCUUUGGGUGCCCGUCAGGGCAUAACAGGGAAGACCGGUGUGAGUCCGGCGCGGUCCCGCCACUGUGAGCGAGGGCAUGCGGCUUCGAUGUCACCACUCGACCGUGCGGUCGGGGAAGGUGGAGCCGCUGGUGCACACGACGUGUGCACCUCCUUCCAAGCCAGGAGACCUACCCAGAGUUUUUCGCGGUC
rnacentral:ncRNA from 2 species